rnacentral:rRNA from 1 species
GAUGAACGCUGGCGGCGUGCCUAAUACAUGCCAGUCGAGCGAACGGACGAGAAGCUUGCUUCUCUGAUGUUAGCGGCGGACGGGUGAGUAACACGUGGAUAACCUACCUAUAAGACUGGGAUAACUUCGGGAAACCGUAGCUAAUACCGGAUAAUAUUUUGAACCGCAUGGUUCAAAAGUGAAAGACGGUCUUGCUGUCACUUAUAGAUGGAUCCGCGCUUCAUUAGCUAGUUGGUAAGGUAACGGCUUACCAAGGCAACGAUGCAUAGCCGACCUGAGAGGGUGAUCGGCCACACUGGAACUGAGACACGGUCCAGCCUCCUACGGGAGGCAGCAGUAGGGAAUCUUCCGCAAUGGGCGAAAGCCUGACGGAGCAACGCCGCGUGAGUGAUGAAGGUCUUCGGAUCGUAAAACUCUGUUAUUAGGGAAGAACAUAUGUGUAAGUAACUGUGCACAUCUUGACGGUACCUAAUCAGAAAGCCACGGCUAACUACGUG